rnacentral:lncRNA from 1 species
AGUUUUGGUGGCUAAUGAUUCUUUUAAAACUUUUGAAGUCUAGUAUAAAUGGUCCAAACUUGGAUAUGUGUAUAUAAAAUUUUUUCUUUAAUUAUCAUUGUCGUAAUACUUAUUUUCUCAUAGUGAACUGCUGCUUCUAGAAUAAGAAUUCAGAUCAUCUAUAAUCCGAGACUCAAUUGGAGAGAUCCAAUCCCACGAUCAUGGGCUGUACAUAGGGCAGCACUGCCAUGUAACACAUUGACCCUC